UACGAAGGGUGCAAGCGUUACUCGGAAUUACUGGGCGUAAAGCGUGCGUAGGUGGUUUGUUAAGUCUGUUGUGAAAGCCCCGGGCUCAACCUGGGAAUGGCAAUGGAUACUGGCAGGCUAGAGUGCGGUAGAGGGUAGUGGAAUUCCCGGUGUAGCGGCGAAAUGCGUAGAGAUCGGGAGGAACACCAGUGGCGAAGGCGGCUACCUGGACCAGCACUGACACUGAGGCACGAAAGCGUGGGGAGCAAACAGG
rnacentral:rRNA from 1 species